UCACUUUCAAUCAUUGCAAUACAGGAAAUGUUAGAUAAAACAUGUAAAAUUCAGAAGCUUCAUUGUAUUGCCAUUUUCAUUCAGUACACAUACAAAGUAGCUACUACAGCACACUGAGUUCACCAAAAGAAGAGCUUCAACAUUGCUCAUUCAUGCAUCAGGACCUCCCAGCCAUUGCAAACAUGAUUGCAACUAAACCAAAGACUCUGCUCCAGGACCUCUUUCUCCUUUAGACUCUGCUCCAGGACCUCUUUCUUGCAAGCAAGGUGUGAUCUACCUCGUGCCGCGGCAUGCACCCACCACAUCUGGCAUCUCAUGGUCCUGUGUUUGAAUCGUGCAAAUCAUCUAAAAUACCAAUCUUUGAUGAACUACAGAAUCAGAGAGGGGAGAUGGAUUCAGUACCUGACUUUUUGCGCCAAUAGACGACAGACGUAAUCUUUGCCCAUGGCUCCCCGUCGUCCUCCAUCUUCACCCCGCGGUCGACCAUCCGCGGAAUGCCAGAUCCUCCCAUCUAAACAGUGAGACACGGGUGGGAGAGUGUGUAAGAUAGGGAUUGGAUAGGGGGAAAGAAGAGGAUGCGGCGUCAGCUCACCUGAGCUCCAGAGGCUUGCCGCCGUGGUGCAAGGAUACGGCCUCGCCGCCGACCGUGAGCAAUAUUGCCUCGCCCUGCCGCUGCAGUGAAUGGGGAACGAGGGUUAGGGAUUUGGUCGACCGGGAUUUGGGAGCGAAUCGUUAUGUGCCUUGUCCCGCCGAGCCAGGGA
rnacentral:lncRNA from 1 species